AAAGAACGUAAUCUAAUACUACCCUCCGAUUGCUUAAUUCCACCGCCUAGUGUUAGAGGCGGUUU
rnacentral:ncRNA from 1 species